CGGGGCUCUGCUCCUCGGCCGGGGAAUGAAUGAGUGCGCAACGAAGAGUCGCGAGCCAGCUGCCUUGACAGGCCCCGCUCCGCACUGCUGGAGGCGUUCACACUGGGGUUAUUUGGCCGCAAGCCGCAUGUCCCAAAUGAUCCACUCUGUCAUCUCGGGCAUAGCAGGAGGAAGUAGUGUGCUUCGCUCUGGCUGCUGCACCGCGUUCCACAGACUGGCAGUGUGUAAGCAACAGAAACUUGUUUCUCACAAUUCCAGAGGAGGAGCAUCAAGGCCGGGGGCUCACAUGACCGCUGCCUGGUGAGGGCCUUCUUCCUGGUUGCCACCUGUCGCUGUGUCCAGUGGGGAAGAGAGGGCGGAGAGCUCCCUGGGGUCCCAUUCCUGAGGAAGCCACCCUCCCACCCUGGUCC
rnacentral:lncRNA from 1 species